CAGCCGCCGCGGUAAUACGAAGGGUGCAAGCGUUAAUCGGAAUUACUGGGCGUAAAGCGUGCGUAGGCGGUUUGUUAAGUCUGCUGUGAAAUCCCCGGGCUCAACCUGGGAAUGGCAGUGGAUACUGGCAAGCUAGAGUGUGUCAGAGGAUGGUGGAAUUCCCGGUGUAGCGGUGAAAUGCGUAGAGAUCGGGAGGAACAUCAGUGGCGAAGGCGGCCAUCUGGGACAACACUGACGCUCAGGUGCGAAAGCGUGGGGAGCAAACAGGAUUAGAUACCCCCGUAGUCCCUGUCUCUUAUAA
rnacentral:rRNA from 1 species